rnacentral:misc_RNA from 1 species
UGUUGAUUAUUCAAUCAUUGUUAAGUGCUAUAUUAUAGUGGAUAUAGACUACUUAGUAAAAUAGUAAACUACUAAACUGUCUAGACGCCACUGCCCACUGUGCAAGGUGGAUAACAGUAUUCGCAUUUUAAUGUUUCUCAAUUUUCUUGGUGUUUUUCAUUAUUGUACUCACCUGCAGUCUUGUUGAAUAUUAUUCAUUUAUUAUGCCUCUCAAAUGUUUUGUGCCUGGGUGUAAGUCAGGUUCACCCAAACAAAAUUUAAUAUAUCAGCAGCAAGGAAUGAAACGACCUUCAGUAUUUCAUCCUCCUGAGAAAAUGAUUGAUACUUGGAAUUUANAAAUUUCACGAGCUGAUAGAACGUUAACAAAAAAAGAUGGAGUAUGUGAACUAUAUUUUGCUUCUGAAGAUAUUAUUUCAUUUAGAAUUUUUGAGGAUAAAGCGGGGAAUGAAAUUAAAUAUAAACUUAAGAAGGUUAUUUUAAAUCAAAAUGCUAUACCUUGUAUUUUCACCCCUAAAUUACCUUCAUGUUUCAACAAAAAUAGUAAAAACGAAGAACUACAACAGAAAGAUCAAUAAGUCCAAACAAUGUCAAAAAAAAAUAAACCCAGUGACAUAAAUACUGUGAAUAAAACAAUUGUUACUCCUCAAAUCGCUACUGAAAUAACUGAAAAUAAUCAAGUUGAAAAUUUAAAAUAUAAUGUUCAUAUUGAUGCAAACAAUAUUAAACUACCAGGUGAAAUGUGGGGAUCGCAUACCAAUUAUUUAGAAAAAACACUUUUUACUCAUAUCCGAGGUGUUCCUAAUGAUAAAUGUAUUAUGUUUACUACCCCCAACAUAGCUAAGGUUCCUUACCUUUUGGAUGAAAUGUCAUUAUCAUCUUCAAUAAAUCAACUUAAAUCAUUAACGGCUUAGUUGAAUCCAUAAUAUCAAGACGUGUAUGAAGUGGUAAUCCAUUAGGUAACAUUUAGAGGAUCAUGGACACAAACAAUUAGUGCUUUAAACAAUGUCAUGCAACUUAUAUUAUUGAAGCCAUAUUUUUAGGACCAGGAUGAUGAAAAACAGAAUGUUCCAGAUAUUUACGUUUAUUAAACACGAGAUUACAUUACCAUUAGUUUUAAGCUUUAACAAUUAGUAUGCUUUUACAAUACUGUGUCGUAAUUUGUAAAAAUUAGAAAACUUUGAAAAAUAAUUAUUUUUUUAGUGUAAUUCGAUAGAUUAAUCAA